rnacentral:lncRNA from 1 species
CCAAAAAGAAAUAAAAGAGUAACUUACCCCUUCUUGGUCAACAGGCAAGCUGACAUGGGAAUUAAUAUUACUACCACCACAAAUGCACUCACUGUUUCCCUUAUCAUUUGUGGGCACAGUGAAGGACAAGGUGGCAUUGCCCUGUGUGUUGUUGGCAUGGCAGUGGACGGUCUCUGAGAAGCCUAGUGCCCUCUUUAGGGUCACCAUGGCAACUGACCCAUGCAUCUCCACCCUGGUACUGGGCAGGUGUCCUGCUGGAAGAGACCACUCCACAGUGCUGGGUGGCUCUGAAUCCACAAUGCACAGACAUGUUACCAUAGAGAUGUCUGAAGUGCAGGCGGAGCCCACUUUGAUCUCAGGGGGGU